AGAACGAACGCUGGCGGCAUGCCUAAUACAUGCAAGUCGAACGAACACUUCGGUGUUAGUGGCGCACGGGUGCGUAACGCGUGGGAAUCUGCCCUUGGGUUCGGAAUAACAGUUGGAAACGACUGCUAAUACCGGAUGAUGACGAAAGUCCAAAGAUUUAUCGCCCAGGGAUGAGCCCGCGUAGGAUUAGCUAGUUGGUGAGGUAAAGGCUCACCAAGGCGACGAUCCUUAGCUGGUCUGAGAGGGAUGGACUACGACGCCAACACGUGGGACUGAGACACGGCCCAGACUCCACGGGAGCAGCUAGAGGGAAUAUUGGACAAGUGGCGCAGACUGA
rnacentral:rRNA from 1 species